UUUUAUGGAGAGUUUGAUCCUGGCUCAGGAUGAACGCUGGCGGCGUGCCUAAUACAUGCAAGUCGAGCGAACGGACGAGAAGCUUGCUUCUCUGAUGUUAGCGGCGGACGGGUGAGUAACACGUGGAUAACCUACCUAUAAGACUGGGAUAACUUCGGGAAACCGGAGCUAAUACCGGAUAAUAUUUUGAACCGCAUGGUUCAAAAGUAAAAGACGGUCUUGCUGUCACUUAUAGAUGGAUCCGCGCUGCAUUAGCUAGUUGGUAAGGUAACGGCUUACCAAGGCAACGAUGCAUAGCCGACCUGAGAGGGUGAUCGGCCACACUGGAACUGAGACACGGUCCAGACUCCUACGGGAGGCAGCAGUAGGGAAUCUUCCGCAAUGGGCGAAAGCCUGACGGAGCAACGCCGCGUGAGUGAUGAAGGUCUUCGGAUCGUAAAACUCUGUUAUUAGGGAAGAACAUAUGUGUAAGUAACUGUGCACAUCUUGACGGUACCUAAUCAGAAAGCCACGGCUAACUACGUGCCAGCAGCCGCGGUAAUACGUAGGUGGCAAGCGUUAUCCGGAAUUAUUGGGCGUAAAGCGCGCGKAGGCGGUUUUUUAAGUCUGAUGUGAAAGCCCACGGCUCAACCGUGGAGGGUCAUUGGAAACUGGAAAACUUGAGUGCAGAAGAGGAAAGUGGAAUUCCAUGUGUAGCGGUGAAAUGCGCAGAGAUAUGGAGGAACACCAGUGGCGAAGGCGACUUUCUGGUCUGUAACUGACGCUGAUGUGCGAAAGCGUGGGGAUCAAACAGGAUUAGAUACCCUGGUAGUCCACGCCGUAAACGAUGAGUGCUAAGUGUUAGGGGGUUUCCGCCCCUUAGUGCUGCAGCUAACGCAUUAAGCACUCCGCCUGGGGAGUACGACCGCAAGGUUGAAACUCAAAGGAAUUGACGGGGACCCGCACAAGCGGUGGAGCAUGUGGUUUAAUUCGAAGCAACGCGAAGAACCUUACCAAAUCUUGACAUCCUUUGACAACUCUAGAGAUAGAGCCUUCCCCUUCGGGGGACAAAGUGACAGGUGGUGCAUGGUUGUCGUCAGCUCGUGUCGUGAGAUGUUGGGUUAAGUCCCGCAACGAGCGCAACCCUUAAGCUUAGUUGCCAUCAUUAAGUUGGGCACUCUAAGUUGACUGCCGGUGACAAACCGGAGGAAGGUGGGGAUGACGUCAAAUCAUCAUGCCCCUUAUGAUUUGGGCUACACACGUGCUACAAUGGACAAUACAAAGGGCAGCGAAACCGCGAGGUCAAGCAAAUCCCAUAAAGUUGUUCUCAGUUCGGAUUGUAGUCUGCAACUCGACUACAUGAAGCUGGAAUCGCUAGUAAUCGUAGAUCAGCAUGCUACGGUGAAUACGUUCCCGGGUCUUGUACACACCGCCCGUCACACCACGAGAGUUUGUAACACCCGAAGCCGGUGGAGUAACCUUUUAGGAGCUAGCCGUCGAAGGUGGGACAAAUGAUUGGGGUGAAGUCGUAACAAGGUAGCCGUAUCGGAAGGUGCGGCUGGAUCACCUCCUUUCUAA
rnacentral:rRNA from 1 species